GACUGGUCCACAUGCAGUGGUGUUUACAACUAAUGGAUCACAACCAGUUACAGAUUCCUUUUUUCCUUCUCCACUCCCACUGCUUCACUUGACUAGCCAGAA
rnacentral:Y_RNA from 1 species